rnacentral:rRNA from 1 species
CGGACGGGUGAGUAAUGUCUGGGAAACGUGCCUGAUGGAGGGGGAUAACUACUGGAAACGGUAGCUAAUACCGCAUAACGUCGCAAGACCAAAGAGGGGGACCGUUCGGGCCUCUUGCCAUCGGAUGUGCCCAGAUGGGAUUAGCUAGUAGGUGGGGUAACGGCUCACCUAGGCGACGACCCCUAGCUGGUCUGAGAGGAUGACCAGCCACACUGGAACUGAGACACGGUCCAG